GUUUAAGCAAAAGAGAUGACAGGAAAUGCCAACCAGUGGGCCCACACCCAAAAAGAUGCCUGGGUGGCACACAAGGAUUGCUGCAAAAGAGAGGCGAUAAUAGCACCUCCUUCCCUCCCUCCUGGAAUUGUCAUAUGAGCUGCUACUCAUGAGCCUGGCACACCAGGCUCCGGAUAUGUCCUCUGUGGUUACUCUUACAGUGAUGGUGUUUACUGCGAUUAGUCGCAGUGACAGUCCCAACCCUGCAGGAAUGGUCAACUGCAGUAAAAAGAGACUCCAACUUCCGUCAGAGUGGUGACCAAGUCAGUCCUGUUUAUUUGUCUUUCCAGUGCCAGGAAUAUACUAGAAGGCUUUCAGUAAAUGUAGAAUAAAUGGUUAAUGGGCUUGAAUCAAGAUUUAUAAUCUACAAAGCACCUUUGCCAUCUUGUGUGAUCCUCACCAUGAACCCAUGAAGUAGACAGUCAGGUCCAUUUUAUAGCUGAGUAAACUGAGGCAUAGGAGAAAGUAGAGCAACUCAUGUAAGUCCACCCCUAAGCUUGAGUCUUCAGCACUGAAAUUUAACAAAGGCACCAAGCAUCAGCCUCCAGCACAUCUAGCUUUGAAAUGAAGAUAACUAACCUAGAUCUGUUGUUCCAAGGAUCCCAUAUGGUGAUGUGGAGGUCUGCCCCCUUCUACUGUCCUUCCAAGGACCCUAGUCAUGAAAGAUCUCUCUAAGCCAGAGCCUCUUAGCUAUUUUAGGAAGGUGGUGUAGAGAGCAUCUGGCCAGGAGUUCAGGAAAUCUAGGUUCCAAUUCUAGUUCUAACCCACUAGGCAAAUUCUUUUGAUUUUGUGAGCCUUAGGUUCCUUAUCUGGGAAACCAAGGAGCUGA